AAGCUCCGUGCCGAACUGUCCCCUCAGGGGGUGCGUUCCCGAAAGGGAUAGGCCGGAGCUUCUUC
rnacentral:sRNA from 12 species